rnacentral:snRNA from 1 species
AGCUUUGCGCAGUGGCAGUAUCGUAGCCAAUGAGGUUUAUCCGAGGCGCGAUUAUUGCUAAUUAAAAUGCAGGUUCAGCUUCAGUGGUUCUGGGUGGGGCUUGUGUUUCUGACGACUCCAUACCAAGCUCGUAAGUGGG